GUGCUCACUCCAGUGGCACAUAGAUUGACAUGGGAACCAUGCAGAGAUUAGCAUGGCCCCUGCACAAGGAUGACACAGAAAUUCAUGAAACAUUCUACAAGAAA